rnacentral:rRNA from 1 species
UACAGAGGUCCCAAGCGUUGUUCGGAUUCAUUGGGCGUAAAGGGUGUGUAGGUGGCGCUGUAAGUCGGGUGUGAAAUUUCGGAGCUUAACUCCGAAACUGCAUUCGAUACUGCGGUGCUUGAGGACUGGAGAGGAGACUGGAAUUCAUGGUGUAGCAGUGAAAUGCGUAGAGAUCAUGAGGAAGACCAGUGGCGAAGGCGGGUCUCUGGACAGUUCCUGACACUGAGACACGAAGGCCAGGGGAGCAAACGGGG